rnacentral:tmRNA from 1 species
GUGUAGUAAAGUCCCGGUUGCCGAUCGGUAUGAGACCACCGCAAAGGCUCGUUCACACAAGUGCCAACGAUAAUCAGGCUCUUGCGAUUGCCGCGUAACUGACGGCCUAACGGUCAGACGUUAUUAGGACAAAAGCGCGGUCGGACCCAACCGGGCAACAGAAUGGGAUUCCAGCGGUACGGGGGGCACCGGGCAACAGAAGCUCCCCACU